rnacentral:rRNA from 1 species
GUAUAAACAAAUCUAUACGUGAAACUGCGAAUGGCUCAUUAUAUCAGUUAUAGUUUAUUUGAUGGUUCUUGCUACUUGGAUAACCGUAGUAAUUCUAGAGCUAAUACAUGCGUCAAACCCCGACUUCUGGGAGGGGUGUAUUUAUUAGAUGGAAACCAAUGCGGGGCAACCCGGUAUAUGGUGAUUCAUAAUAACUUUCGGAUCGAUCUUCGGAUCGAUGCAUCAUUCAAGUUUCUGCGCUAUCAGCUUUGGAUGGUAGGG